AAAUGAAUUGACGGGAGCCCGCACAAGCAGUGGAGUAUGUUGUUUAAUUCGACGCAACGCGAAGAACCUUACCAGGUCUUGACAUCCGCGGAAUCCUGCGUAACGGCAGGAGUGCCCCUUUGGGGAGCCGCGUGACAGGUAGUGCAUGGUUGUCGUCAGCUCGUGUCGUGAGAUGUUGGGUUAAGUCCCGCAACGAGCGCAACCCUUGCGGACAGUUGCCAACUCAGAAAUGAGUGGAACUCUGUCUGGACUGCCGUUGACAAAACGGAGGAAGGUGGGGAUGAUGUCAAAUCAUCAUGCUCCUUAUGAUCUGGGCCACAAACGUACUACAAUGGCGUGAACAGAGGGAAGCGAUGGCGCGAGCCGGAGCGGAACCCUAAAACACGUCCCAGUUCAGAUUGCAGGCUGCAACUCGCCUGCAUGAAGUUGGAAUUGCUAGUAAUCGCGGGUCAGCAUACCGCGGUGAAUACGUUCCCGGGCUUUGUACACACCGCCCGU
rnacentral:rRNA from 1 species